rnacentral:rRNA from 1 species
UAGGGAAUCUUCCGCAAUGGGCGAAAGCCUGACGGAGCAACGCCGCGUGAGUGAUGAAGGUCUUCGGAUCGUAAAACUCUGUUAUUAGGGAAGAACAAAUGUGUAAGUAACUAUGCACGUCUUGACGGUACCUAAUCAGAAAGCCACGGCUAACUACGUGCCAGCAGCCGCGGUAAUACGUAGGUGGCAAGCGUUAUCCGGAAUUAUUGGGCGUAAAGCGCGCGUAGGCGGUUUUUUAAGUCUGAUGUGAAAGCCCACGGCUCAACCGUGGAGGGUCAUUGGAAACUGGAAAGCUUGAGUGCAGAAGAGGAAAGUGGAAUUCAAUGUGUAGCGGUGAAAUGCGUAGAGAUAUGGAGGAACACCAGUGGCGAAGGCGACUUUCUGGUCUGUAACUGACGCUGAUGUGCGAAAGCGUGGGGAUCAAACAGG